rnacentral:lncRNA from 1 species
ACAUCUCUUGGAGUUCUAGCUCACCUUUCUGGUGUUGUUCUUGUACUCAUCUGUUUAAUCUAGUUCUGCCACUUCUUCUUGAACUUCUUGUUAGAUUUCAAGUCUGUAUUUUAUGUCCGUGACAGUUUGUCAAGACUACACUAACUUGAGAUAUCAGAGCUAGUUCUUUCUUAGUAGAGUGUGGAUUACCCCUCUACUUGAAGGUAUACUAGCAUUUUUUAGAGGUUGCGGAUUACCCUCCUCUAAACUGAUACUUCUUCUGUUACAAUAUUGGAGUCUUAUUCUUCUUGGAGAGAGUGGAUUACCCCUCUUCUUGAAAUUCUUAAG